rfam:Gavia stellata contig25339, whole genome shotgun sequence.
GUGCUCACUUCAGCAGCACAUAUACUAAAAUUAGAACAAUACAGAGAAGAUUAGUAUGACCCCUGCACAAGGAAGCAAAGAAAAACAAGGAAUUCAUUCACUACUUC